rnacentral:rRNA from 1 species
AUGGGAGACCUUAAUGAGAUCCUAUUCUUGCAUGAGAAGGAGGGGGGCAAUCCACGGCCUCCACAAUAUAUGGUAGCUUUCCAACAGACAAUUGAUGAUUGCAGUUUACAUGAUAUGGGGUAUAUUGGAGAUAUUUUCACAUGGAGAAGAGGGAGAAUUAGAGAAAGACUGGAUAGAGGUCUGACCAACAAUGAAUGGGCUAGCCCUUUCCUAAAUGUUGGUCUAGAGCAUUGUAACUUUAAUCAUUCGGACCACCGACCCAUGUUGAUGAACACAAUUUUUUAUGUGAACCAAGGAACUGCAAAUGGUGGACCUAAGAGGUUUGAAGUGCGGUGGCUGGGAGAAGAGCAGUUCCCGGAAUUGGUAACAGAAACAUGGGAAAGGUUGAAGAAUGACCCAACGUCCGCGGGGGUGUUCGAGAAGCUUACAGAAAUGCAUUCGGUCUUUCAUGAUUGGGACCAGCGUGUUCUAAAAAAACAAAUAAAAGGUUAA